CUACUAGGUACGGGCUUUUGAUUAUUGCCCAAGAUUGGUGAAAGUUUAAUUAAUUAUUUUAGAAAUAAUGGAGGCAGGUAUGCUAAGGACAAAAUGAUUCUGAUACUUGUUUAAACUCAUAAGUCAGGCUCUAUUGAGGGCCAUGAUGUGAUGAUAGGGGAGCUACUUCUGCAGGGAAGGGGUCUGCAGUGGCAGGAGCUCAACUCUGAACACAAAGACAGAAGAUGGGAUUUUUUACAGGGUUGGAAGGAGGCAGUGGAUGGAAAAAUUAGUGAGAGGAAGAGAUAAUUCCUCACUAAACUGACCCAAUGGGAUUCUUGAUGAAGGUAACUGAUUACAAUGAACAGUCAAUAAAAGAAACAAUGAUAAAUAUGAAGGAGGUUGAUAAUAUGACAGAUGAGAAUCACAUGGUUUUGGGUGAAAAGCAGGAUCCCAAUGACAUGAGCAGUACUCCAAGCGUGCAAGAAACAAAACCAGAAGAAAGACUCAUGGAAAAUGCAUCAAGUACUAAAGGCGAUGAGGCUCCUCUGGUAAUGGAAAGUGGAGGAAAGGACACAUACCCCUGCAAAGCAAUGGUGCAAAUCAUGGGCAGCCUGGUGGUCUCAACUGAGUCUCUGUGCUCCGCUUGGAGCCAGGGACGCCCUCUUCUUUGUGACGUCUGAUGAUACCCAUGGCAACUUGCUUGUCAUAGGAGCUGAGUAUAAACUUCUGGAACAGCAGGAAGUAAAGAGAAGUGAGAAGAGCUGGCAGAG
rnacentral:lncRNA from 12 species